GACGAACGCUGGCGGCGUGCUUAACACAUGCAAGUCGAACGAUGAAGCGGGUGCUUGCACUCGUGGAUUAGUGGCGAACGGGCGAGUAACACGUGAGUAACCUGUCCUUUUCUUUGGGAUAACGGCUGGAAACGGCUGCUAAUACUGGAUAUUCAGGCUGCAUCGCAUGGUGUGGUUUGGAAAGGUUUUUUCUGGGAUUGGGUGGGCUCGCGGCCUAUCAGCUUGGUGGUGGGGUGAUGGCUUACCAAGGCUUUGACGGGUAGGCGGCCUGAGAGGGUGGUCGGUCGCACUGGGACUGAGCUACGGCCCAGACUCCUACGGGAGGCAGCAGUGGGGAAUAUUGCCCAAUGGACGAAAGUUUGAUGCCGCGACGCCGCGUGGAGGGUGUAGGCCUUCGGGUUGUGAACUCCUUUUUCUCGCGAAAAAGGCACAGUUUUGGCUGUGUUGAUGGUAGUGGGGGAAGAAGCGCCGGCUAACUACGUG
rnacentral:rRNA from 1 species